rnacentral:rRNA from 1 species
CCCUUAGAUGUUCUGGGCUGCACACGUGCUACACUGGCAGGUUCAGCGAGCUUCAUGCCCUGAUCUGAAAGGAAUGGGAAAUCUUUUCAAAACCUGCCGUGCUUGGGAUAGAUGUUUGCAAUUAUUCAUCUUCAACGAGGAUUGCCUUGUAAGCGCACGUCAUCAGCGUGCAUUGAAUACGACCCUGUAUUCUGUACACACCGCCCGUCGCUCCUACCGAUUGAAGUUUCCGGUGAGUUGACAGGAGGAUUUUUUUGAAACUGGUUCGCCAGUGGAUUUUAGAUCCAAAUGCCAACGAAUCGAUGGCUUUAGAGGAAGGAGAAGUCGUAACA